AUGUGUAAAUACUGGUUCCAGCAAAAAUCUCAGAAACAACAACUCUCCAUCAAAAUCAAUUGUAGCAAAAAAUACAGCCGGUUCCAGCAACAAUUUACUCUGCUUCUAGCAAAAAUCCUAGAAACAAUAACUCUCUGUCAAAAGUCUAUUGCAGCAAAAAACAUUGUUGACUCCAGCAACAAUUUCCUCGGUUUCCAGCAAAAAUCCCAUAACACCAAAAACUCCAACAAAUUUGAUUGUAGCAAAAAGACAAACGGUUCCAGCAACAAAUUACUUUGGUUCCAGCAAAAUCCCACAAAAUAG
rnacentral:rRNA from 1 species